rnacentral:lncRNA from 1 species
CAAAAUAAUAUUUCACGUCGUUAGGCAUCGUGGUCGGGAACCUAAUGGGUCACACACAAAAGAGAAUUGGAAGAUUGCAAAUUGCCAAUUGGUUAAUUUAACAAUCGUUGGAUAAAUUAAUUAAUUGGAUUUGUUAUUUAUAUUUUCGAAUUAAUUAAUUGGAUUAAUUAAUUCACGGACCGGGUUUAAUUAAUUGGAUUAAUUAAUUAUUGGGCCGGACCGGGCCGAGCCUAUUUGGGUUUAUAUAAAUACAUAACUAGGGUUUGAGGUCCAUUAAGGUUUUCAUUAUUCUUGCUAGCACAAGAGAAAACCCUAGAGGCUGCAAUCAUAUUCUCUGUGUGGAUCACCGUUGGAGGCUGGACAAUUGGACAGCUGUGGUGGCGAAUCAAAGUUGUGGAACGAAAAGAAAAGCAAAAGGAUUGCAGAUCUGAAAAAGGUACAAUCUUAUCACAAUUCCUAACCAAACACAAUGAGAUCUAUUGGAUGGGAAUCGAAAUAAUUUAAUUUUCCGCUGUGCAUGUAUAAGUAGAUUCCCAACACCCACUCCAUCCAUCUUGGUGGCAUUACUUGGCAUCAUUGUCAAAGCUGUCUACUAGCAUUAAUUGAGAAAAGGAGAAAGACUGGAAACGGAAAUUGUUGAUGUCCAAGAGUUGAAUUGAAGAAACUAAGUACAAUACCGAACUGAAGAAGCAAUCUUGAAGAUUGAAAUUCCAUAGAGAUUUUUGAAAUUUCAAAGAACCAAAGAUCUGAUGAUGAAGAAGGAGAGAAAUUCUUAUUAAUCAAACUCUCUUCGCAGCUCUUGAUAGCUGCUAAAUUUGGAUAUAUCAAGUGAUCGUCCGAAGGACCAUGAUUUGUGAACCUUCACAAAGGGUCGACUGGGUAGACUACUUUGAUCCACAUUUUUUAAGGACUACAAGAAACCCGAUUCUUCUAUACAACUUGAAGCAGUGACAUCCCGUUUCGGAUGCACCAGAAGAUUGAAGAACAAAGGACCAAAAUCUUUGAACUUCGAAGGUUCUCUCAUUAUCAACAACCUUCAGAAAACCAAGAAUAAUUUCAGCAGAAUUCUGGAAAAUGAAAAACAGCAGCAUGAAGCGAUCUUUGCUCCGAUACCGUGUUAAAUUCUCCCUAGCAUAGAACUAGUGAGCAGUGAAAAGAGGAAAAGAUCGAAAUCAUCUCCCUAACAUAGAACUAGAGAGCAGUAAAAGAAGAAAAUAUAUUCUCUCCAGCAUAGUACUAGAAAGUAGCAAAAAGAAGAAGAGAUAAAUUCAAUAUGAAAUU